GUCCACGCCGUAAACGAUGAAUGCCAGUCGUCGGGUAGCAUGCUAUUCGGUGACACACCUAACGGAUUAAGCAUUCCGCCUGGGGAGUACGGCCGCAAGGUUAAAACUCAAAGGAAUUGACGGGGGCCCCGCACAAGCGGUGGAGCAUGUGGUUUAAUUCGAAGCAACGCGCAGAACCUUACCAACCCUUGACAUGGCGAUCGCGGUUCCAGAGAUGGUUCCUUCAGUUCGGCUGGAUCGCACACAGGUGCUGCAUGGCUGUCGU
rnacentral:rRNA from 1 species